rnacentral:rRNA from 1 species
GACGAACGCUGGCGGCGUGCCUAACACAUGCAAGUCGAACGGAGAUACGAUUUCGGUUGUAUCUUAGUGGCGAACGGGUGAGUAACGCGUGAGCAACCUGACUCUUAGAGGGGGGAUAACACUCGGAAACGGGUGCUAAUACCGCAUAAGACCACGACAUGGCAUCAUGACGAGGUCAAAGGAGCAAUCCGCUGAGAGAGGGGCUCGCGUCCCAUUAGAUAGAUGGCGGGGUAAUGGCCCACCAUGUCAGCGAUGGGUAGCCGAGCUGAGAGGCUGAUCGGCCACACUGGAACUGAGACACGGUCCAGACUCCUACGGGAGGCAGCAGUGGGGAAUAUUGGGCAAUGGGCGCAAGCCUGACCCAGCAACGCCGCGUGAGGGAAGAAGGCUUUCGGGUUGUAAACCUCUGUCCUUGGUGAACGAAAAAAUGACGGUAGCCAAGGAGGAAGCCCCGGCUAACCUACGUGCCAGCAGCCGCGGUAAAGUACUCUAU